CUCCACUGCUAGCUCCAAUAAUCGACGACGCUAACGGCGACAGCAGCUCGACACACGGUGCUCUCCUCCACGGCGACGGCACGGUGCUCUCCUCCACGCAGGCUUCUCGAUGGCGACGGCGCGGUGCACUCCUCGUUUUGCGCCAAACCUCUCCACCGGUGAGAAACCCCUCUCCCUACUCUUCUUCUCCUUCUCCCUCUUCUCUUUUCUCGCAUCCUCCUCUUUGCGAACCGGAGAUGUAAAAAUCGUAGCCACCUCUGUUCCGUUGGCGAGCUUUGAUGCAUCACGGUGACCACCUCAACUGGUCUAUUGCUCUGGCAAUAUGGCAACCACCCCUCAGCUGCAACCUCAUCACCCUUGCCUUCUUGUUCUGUUCUUCAAUUUUCAGGGAGAUGCUGAUGUAAUAUGUAGUGGAGCUUGAAAUUUCUGGCCGCUGGAGCUUAUGGCUUGCGUCAAUUUUGACCGUGAGUGCUUUUAUGGGGUGCUAAACCUUCUGAGGUAUUCUAAUAUUUUUGAGAAUGAAGAUGUGGUGGAACAUUUCUUCUUUAGAAAUGGAACAAAUCGAUGAAGGUGUCUUUUCAGAAUGCUGUUGAUCAAGUUUGGUACUUUUUCUCCGAUCUGAAUCUCGAUUCUGUUGAGUUGGAUCAUCGCAAGGUUGUAAAGGAAGGAUUUUGUAGGGUUGGUAUUUUAUGAUACGAAGAUGUUUAGGACUUUAGGUUAAUAGGUUACUUUUUGUUUGGUCACUCCUGGUGAGUAUGGUUGGACUGCAAACAUGGAGAGGAUUAUGAAAGCUUGGGCCUUGAGAGACAACAGCAUGACUGGCUACAUGUCUAACAAGAGAAUAUGGAGAUCAACCCCAACAAUGGCAUUAUGGAAGAAUUGACGUAGAGAACGGAGAUGAAAUUGGGCAUUUACUUUUUUUUUUUGUCAAAGUUCAUGAGAUAGAAAUGAUGUUUUUUGUUGUUGUUGUUUAGUUAUGUGUAUUUUUAUUUGAAUUGGCAACUGUACAUGUAUUUAAAAUUUAUUUAGUUGAAUUUGAAACAACUUUUUAAUUUAAUA